CCGCUCUUUCCUAUGUGCCUGUCCGCACAGCGAGGCUUUUGUACCAGGCCCACCAUUCUACCACGUGCUUGUCUAAAGCCCGGCACACUCCGCGCCCUCGGAGACUCGUGAUCAGCCUGCUGCGCGACUUCCCGUGUCGCUGGGUGACCCCGCGCCUCCCGGGGAGCACUGAAGAUGGUGGCAGGCCCCGCCCCCCGGAACUCGCAGCCCGGCUCUAGGACGCAGGACGGGGAGCUCUGGGCGAGCCGCGCUGUAACAGCGGGGAAGCGGGCGCCUCUGCGAGGGGCCCUGGCUUAGCUCGCGCCCAGGCCGGAGAACCCACGUGACCCAGGCGGCUUCCCGGGAUCCCCUGCACUUGCCCCGGAAGCGGAAGUGUGCAAACUGGGAGGUGAGAGGGUUGGGAGCGCAGGUGCCGCUAGCGCGCAGGGGUUUCGCCUCGUCCUUUGCCGGCCAUGGCGCGGAUCUCGCGCACGCUGCUCAUCUUCGGCGGGUUCGUGGCCGUGGUGGGGGCGGCGUUUUACCCCAUCUACUUCCGGCCGCUGCUGCAGGUGGAGCAAUACAUGACCGGUGCCAGAUGCUUCAGAGGGAAUGAACAGAACAGGGCAAUUAUCAAGUUAUCCAUCCCAUUGUCCAGUCCCAGAUCCUGGCAUUUGGAUGUUUAGAGACAUUCGGAGUAUGGGGUUGUGUCCAGAUCAUCUUGGCUAACAGCCAUCAGUGAGAAUCCUUCAUGAGAAUCAGAUUGCUUUUUGAACCCAGUUAUACUUUUGGCCUUCACAAGAUCCCAUGGCAGGAAGGACCAGGCAACAAAUCGAUCUGGUAUUGUUCAAGAGGAUGUUCAGCCUCCAGGGUUAAAAGUGUGGUCUGAUCCAUUUGGAAGGAAAUAACAACAUUGUCUGUGUACAUCACAAGGUGUGCCUGAAGAUGGAUAUGUUCAAAGCAACUGUUUUGACUCAUACACUAAUGAGUGUAUUGUUCGGGUGUUGCUGGAGAAGGAUUCUCAAUAUGGUAGUGACUUCAGUGAAUGCUGCUGGUUCUGAAGAUUAAUACUAAAUUUUUCUUUAGAGUUCCGUAGCUACUGGAACAAAAUGGACUGACACUGAGAUGGCUGAAUGAUUUUUUCGAGUUUCGAACUGAAACACUUUUUCAUACGUUUGAGGGAAGAGAAGAGAACUUGCUAUUGGGGUUAAUCUGUAGACAUUUAUAGAAUAAAUCUGAUCAGAAUAAAUUAUGCAGAUCAUUGUAGUUUACUCCUGUUUGAUUACAUAUGCAAGAUGAGUGAACAAUGCAGAAAGAAUGUAAUGUGAUAUAUCUGUAAAUCUGUAAACAGUAUUAAAAUCAUGUUUUUAUUUAAACUGA